UACAGAGGGUGCUAGCGUUGUUCGGAAUCAUUGGGCGUAAAGGGCGUGUAGGCGGUUUGUUAAGUCAUGUGUGAAAUCCCUCGGCUCAACCGGGGAACGACGCAUGAAACUGGCAAGCUAGAGUACCAAAGAGGGGGGUGGAAUUCCCAGUGUAGAGGUGAAAUUCGUAGAUAUUGGGAAGAACACCGGUGGCGAAGGCGGCGACCUGGUCCGAUACUGACGCUGAGGCGCGAAAGCGUGGGGAGCAAACAGG
rnacentral:rRNA from 1 species